ACGGAAGCCAAAGUAUGAACCCAAGUAUAGCUGGAUGACCAAGGAGCCCUCUUCCAUCUGACUGAAUCUCAUCCAAUUUUGAGGGGAGGAGCCUGCAUGGAGAGCAAACUCUGGGGUAAAAUUACAUGAUCUCACUGCCUGAAGGAUACCAGGCUUAGGUGCAGAGUCACAAAAGUGAAACUGUGCACCUACUACCCGCCAGGAAAUGAACCAGGCCAUGAGAACACAAAACAGGCAGACACAGACGGCCCUUGAGUUCACGGAAAGCAGAUUCUCAUGCAGAUCACAUUAACCUCACAGGGCAAACAAGAGAUUAAAGUGCUGGGAAUAGGGAUACCAGACUUGAGAGUUGGAGAGCUUGCCCCUGACCUCUGUCUAUCAUCAUAAAGAAUACACCAUAAGAAGACGUAGUUCAGGAAAUGAAACUAGAGGGCUGCCACACUUUUCAACUUUCUGUCUAUUAAGCAUUACUUCAGAAAGAUUCGGUCAUGUCAGUGAAAAACAAUUCUGAAAUCACGCAAUUACCGAACAGCUCAAGGCAUAUCAUCAACGUACUUGAAAACAAAGGAUUUUCUACUGGCAGUGUGCUUUGCUGUGGCAUCGAUGUAUCUUCUAAGUUGCAGUCACCCUCCAUAGGGCUAUUCACGAAUAUGAUACAUCUUAAACUCUAUAUUUCCAAAAAUGAAAUGGGAGGGCCAAAUCUGCUCUUUAAGAUAUAAAAAAUGUAAGACUGACACUUCACUCGUAACAAUGAGAACAAGUUGGUUAAAGACACACAGAAAGCUAAGUAAACUAAAUUCUCAAAAUAAAUGAGCUCUUCCUAGUAGAAAAGAGCUCUCAGGGCUGAUUUCAUUGCUGGAGGAAGGAUGACCAGAGAAGGAAAUCUCCACAGGUGGAGUAAAAGAAACCAGCUGAUUUUCUUCAUAAACAUAUCCAGCCCCUGUGAGCUGAGAUGAUGAUCCUGAGUUCCAGGUAGGAUCCUGCUGAAGGCUGGGCAGAAGGCAGCAAAGAAGAGCGAAAGUUACAUCUGGGCUGUAAAGCAGAGAGAGAAGCUAUUAUUUGAAAACUGGUGACACACUGUGAAGCACAAACAGCUCUUUGGCUAUUUGUUAGCACUGUGUUGAUGAAAAGUCCUGAUCCUGCCUUCAAAACAUUUGAAGCUGCGGUAAACUGAAGCUAACUUGAUGCACAACAGAGCCCAGACCUAACUCAGUGAGAGAAACAAUUGCCUCUGAUCCCUAUGGUAGCCUCCUGACAGAGGGCAAAUAAUAUUUAUUUCAAACUCUGCUCUGCCUCUAUAACCAAUGUCCAAAAUAUAAUUUAAAAAAUAUGAAACACAAACAGAAGCCAGAAAUGUGACUCAUACUGAAGAGAAUCACAGGCAUCAGAAGCAGAUGCCCAGAUAGCCCACAUAUUGGAAUCAGUAGACACGAGUUUCAAAGCAACUAUGAAAAGCAUACACGUGAUACAUCUUCUCCACACUUUUACUUAUAAAUUCUGUGUGUUUUUAGCUUUGAAGUGUGAUGUUUCUUAUAAUGCCUGUAAAACUGUUUACUGUUUGGCAGGAUAUUGUUGUAAUUCAAAGAUGCAUAUGGUAAAUUUGAGUUAAAAAUUUAACACACAGAAAAAUAUCUAAAAAGUCAAUUGUGGGAAUGAUAUAUAACAGUAAAAAGCAUACUCAAUUUACCCAAAAGAAGGGAGGAAGGAAGAAUAAAGGUAUAAGGAAUACAUGGGAAAAAUAGAAAAUAAAUAGCAAAACGGUCAACUUUAACCUAAACCUAUCAAUAUUUAGAUAAAAUAUAAAUGCACUAAACAGUCUAAAAAAUGUUUCAAAAUCCAGAAUUGUAAGACUAAAUAAGAGAGAAAAGCCAGCCUCAUGCUGUUUCUAAGGCUCCUCAGACUCAUAAAACCACUUUUGUCUAACUAGGUGUUCUGGGCACCACCUUCAGUCAUUCAGAGAUCUCAUGUAAAGGUCGUACACCUGCCCAAGGGGUCUGUCAUAUCUCACUGCAUUCUCUCCAAUGGUUAUUUGUUAUUCAGAGUUUUGUGACAGAAGAACCAUUCAAAGUUACCUAACAUUUCUGUGUACUAGAAUUUGCGCGUGUUUGGCUAUUUAAAUCUUACCACAAAAAAUAAAAUAAAAAUAUGAUUCCAAUUUUAUGUAAGGGACAUUGAGGUUAUUUAAAAAUUAUAAGUUUAUAAAUAAUAACAGAUUUCUCCAAGAGCUUUCCCUUAGAAGACAUGGGAGCUGGGACAUAAUCUUUAGACUUUUUACCUCCCAAUUCUGUAUUCUUCUGAACACUACUCCUUCUCAAAAUAAGCAUAUUGCACUUGAACUGUGAGAAUUAGACAAGGCAUCUGCAUAACAUUACUUGUAGUUACUGAAUUUCUAAACUUAUAAUAUCAAUAAAUGCCUCAUUCCUGAUUAAGAGCUGAAAGGAGCCCUAAUAAUCAAAAAUUACAAAGCAUCGAUUUGAGGACUAUAAAUAACAAAGAAAAUUGUUUUCAAAUUCCCCCAUCUAUUCAUUAGGAAAGUUUUAAAAUGAGAUUAGAUUUAGAGGGAUGAUUAUAAUCAAGGUCAAUUAUGUAAGUGUUCCAACUACACACCACAUAUUUCUGUAUAUUAAGCUAUGACCCUAACAUUUGCUUCGGGCCACAUUCAAAACUGUGCUGAAUAAUCAUUUCUACCUGUAAUGCAUUUACUAAUUGGUAAAAUAUGUCUUUGUCAAUUGGACUCAUUCUAAACUAUUUUCAUUUCAUUAACUGAAAAUAUUGAGUUGAUUUUCUUCAAAUUGCCAUAGAUUUACCUUGACUCAUUGACAUUUAAACUUAUACAUUUCUUUCUAAAAAAAAUAAAUCCCAUCACAAACCAAUAGACAUCCUCAUUUGCAAAUCUUACUGAGGGUACUUUCAAUCUUAUUUAUCUGAUGGUUUUUGGAUGAAAGUAAUACAUUGAAUGUAAACAAAUAAUCCAAUUUUCAAUAAAAG
ensembl:lncRNA